GGACGAAAUCCUCGGAGGAACUGCCUGAUGGGCACCCAGAACGCCUGGGAGGGCUCGGGCGGACGCGACUGGGGACGAGUUCGCGACGAAUCCGCCGACCUGCUCAACAACCCGUCGCCUGAAAGUGCUGAAGCACUGCUCCCUGCGCUGAGCGACGCGCUCGAAUGGUUGGGAGACGGAGACGACGUCCCGGACGAAAGCGAACCGCAGUCGGAACCGACGCUGACGCCCCUCCCCGCAGGGCCCUCGUGGCGCCCGCCCGUGGGAGCACGCCGCCCCGCGGGCCGCCAAGGCGGCGUAGGGGGAGGCGGCGGGGGCCGGCGGGGCGGUGGCGCGGGCGGAUCGCGUGCGACUAGCGGCCGUUCGCGAGCGCGUGCCGCGAGCGUCGGCGGACGCGUCC
rnacentral:misc_RNA from 1 species